rnacentral:tRNA from 1 species
AUGUAGCUUAAUACCAAAGCAAUGCACUGAAAAUGCUUAGAUGGGUAUUUAUACCCCAUAAACA